AUAUUGCACAAUGGGGGAAACCCUGAUGCAGCGACGCCGCGUGAGUGAUGAAGUAUUUCGGUAUGUAAAGCUCUAUCAGCAGGGAAGAAAAUGACGGUACCUGACUAAGAAGCCCCGGCUAACUACGUGCCAGCAGCCGCGGUAAUACGGAGGAUCCGAGCGUUAUCCGGAUUUAUUGGGUUUAAAGGGAGCGUAGACGGCUGUGCAAGUCUGGAGUGAAAGCCCGGGGCUCAACCCCGGGACUGCUUUGGAAACUGUACGGCUGGAGUGCUGGAGAGGCAAGCGGAAUUCCUAGUGUAGCGGUGAAAUGCGUAGAUAUUAGGAGGAACACCAGUGGCGAAGGCGGCUUGCUGGACAGUAACUGACGUUGAGGCUCGAAAGCGUGGGGAGCAAACAG
rnacentral:rRNA from 1 species